rnacentral:rRNA from 1 species
UACAGGGGGGGCAAGCGUUGUUCGGAAUUACUGGGCGUAAAGGGCUCGUAGGCGGCCAACUAAGUCACACGUGAAAUCCCCAGGCUUAACCUGGGAACUGCGUGUGAUACUGGAUGGCUUGAAUUCGGGAGAGGGAUGCAGAAUUCCAGGUGUAGCGGUGAAAUGCGUAGAUAUCUGGAGGAAUACCGGUGGCGAAGGCGGCAUCCUGGACCGACAUUGACGCUGAUGAGCGAAAGCUAGGGGAGCAAACGGGG